AGAGGAUCUAGGAGAGCUGAAUGAAUUUGAGAAGUAACUGAUGAAGUUGAGCAGGCAUGGGUAAAAAGGUUCUCCAUAUUGUCCCCUCACAAGAAGGAGCCCCCCUUACAAGAAGGACUGAGAUACUGGACCACGUAUGGGGCAAUGAAGCUGGUGAAGGAUCUGGAGCACAAGUCUUCUGAGGAAUGGCUGAGGGAGCUGGGGGUGUUUAACCUGGAGAAAAGAAGCUCAUGGGGGACCUUACUGCUCUCUACAGCUACCUGAAAGGAGGUUGUGUUGAGUAAGGACAGGUGAGGAAUGAGCAUUAGCAGAGGAAUCAUCCUUAUCCUGUCUCAUUAUUCAGUCUCUGUGCUGGAGAGAUCACCUCUUCAUAACCUCUCAGGCUCAAAAGGUACUUCAUUAGCCUCUGCGCCGAGAUUGCCAAUGAGUGCCAAUUAGUUCCAGGAGGCAUUUGUUGCUGUAAAUGAAAUUCCUUCUCUGAUAGAAAUGGUAAUGACAACAGGAGAGUGCUGCCAGGGCUGGGCUCACAGGGUCUGACCUAUAAUGUUUUGGCUGAAUGUUUAGUGGAUCUGCAAGUCGUGGUAAGUCACACCACUUGGACUACAUGCAGAUCUCUUUCUCAUAUGAUGUGUCUGAGUCAGCUCAUUGUAAUUAA